AAGAUACUAGUAAAAUGCUAUAACACUGCCUUGUCAAGGCAGAAUCGCGGGUUAAAGCCCCGCGUAUCUUG
rnacentral:tRNA from 1 species